CCUGGCGGCACUAGCGCGGUGGUCCCACCUGACCCCAUACCGAACUCAGAAGUGAAACGCCGUAGCGCCGAUGGUAGUGUGGGGUCUCCCCAUGCGAGAGUAGGGAACUGCCAGGC
rnacentral:rRNA from 11 species